GACGAACGCUGGCGGCGUGCUUAACACAUGCAAGUCGAACGGAAAGGCCCUGCUUGCCGGGUGCUCGAGUGGCGAACGGGUGAGUAACACGUGGGUGAUCUGCCCCUUACUUUGGGAUAAGCCUGGGAAACUGGGUCUAAUACUGGAUAGGACCAUGCUGUAGGUGGUGUGGUGGAAAGAUUAGUUUCGGUAAGGGAUGAGCUCGCGGCCUAUCAGCUUGUUGGUGGGGUAAUGGCCUACCAAGGCGUCGACGGGUAGCCGGCCUGAGAGGGUGGACGGCCACAUUGGGACUGAGAUACGGCCCAGACUCCGACGGGAGGCAGCAGGGGGGAAUAUUGCACAAUGGGCGCAAGCCUGAUGCAGCGACGCCGCGUGGGGGAUGACGGCCUUCGGGUUGUAAACUCCUUUCAGCCAUGACGAAGCCCUUGUGGUGACGGUAGUGGUAGAAGAGGCACCGGCGAACUACGU
rnacentral:rRNA from 1 species